AUCCACGUGGAUAGGGAGACAGACUCAAACAGAGGCCAAGUGCCUGGGAAGCUGUCCUGAUGACCGCAGGACGGCCAAGCCAGCCUGCAACAUCUCAUUUGGGGGAUGGAGCUCUGAACUUACAGCAGAGCAUGAUGAGGCCUAUUUAUUCCACGGGUCCUACCUAAGUGCACACUCCUGUCAUUAACCCGACAGAUGCUUCCAGAGAGUUCCCCAGCAUCUUGCUGCCAGUGUGAUGCUAACAGCAAAACUCGGGAAACAUUUUACUGGGAGAGAUGCACCUUCCCUCUCCCACAAGAGCCCUGGAGACCUCUGGGUGAGGCUACAGUGGGACACCUCCAGCACCGACGCCCGAGCCCCUCUCCUGGCAGCUGCCACCAUCACGGGUAUCACAUCUGGCCUGAACGGUGAACCCAGUUUAAGCUCAGAAUGGCUGGCUCCUGAGAUCACCAUAAGGAACCCCAGGGGUUCUAUCUUCCUUCCAGGUAUUGCUCCCCUCCCGUAAUCCCAGAGUGGAAUAAAUAUCAGCAAGCAGGUUGGCCGGAAGGAGUUGGGAACAGGAAGAAGCAGAAGGAAUCAGGUCAAGUUCCACUAGCACAGUUGGCUUAGACAAUUCCCAGCAGCUCCCUCUGCCAAAAACCAGGGCUGUGCAGGGGAGCCCCCUGGGGGAGCCAGGAGCCUAGAUUUCUCUCUAGAAGCCCAGCGAGAUGGCCGGUACAGCUGCCACAGACACAGGGCAGAGUGAGGGCAGAGAUGUCACCUUCCCCGACUAGUGACCAAGGACGCCAAUUCAAGGCAAAUCCUUCCCGUAACCUUUGCCACAGAAGCAUCCCUAUCUGCAUGGUGCGGGGAUUAAUGUAUCUCCCAGGUGUUCCUCCUCGGGAACUCUCAGCCUGCUGAUUCAGGCUCUUGCCAGCUAGGAAUGGAAACGUCAGCAAGAGCCCCUCGGACGUGCGCAGGCCCAGCCAGCUCGGCACAGCACAGCUGGGGGGGACAGUGUUGGCACAGAGUGAACAUGAACUUUCACAUGGAGUCUGGGUGACACAAAUGAGUUUCAGAAUAAAGAAACCAGAUGGACAGAUUUACAUUUGGCAAAAAGACAUGAGGAACACACGGACAGACAGAGCAAGUGCCUGCAGCCAUGUCGCCGAGCGAGUAGAGCACUGGACCCCGGACAGGACGUGGCUGUUCUGAAGCUGAAAGGAGUCUUCACUGCGGGGCCCGUUUAAGAGGUUACUAAUGCAACUUGAAGGAACUGCAGGGCAAGAGAUGGGUGUCCAGGGUGAGAGCAGGGGUGCGAGCAGGGGAGCGUCUCCCACCAAGUUCAUGUUCAGCAGACUGCCACUCACCGGGCUUACUAGAAAUAAAAUUCUUCCGACUGAAAGUAGAAUUGAGGCCUGAAAGAUGGUUAAAGAGGAAAAAACCCCAAUAGCCUGUAAAACACUUGUUUACACUGAGCUGCCGAGGUCUCUGGACCACACCACUGUGCCGCUGGCUGCUAAGAUGCCCGUUACCAUAACAUCAGCCGUUUUCCUCACUAAAGCAAGCCCGAACCUACUGCCUUUCUCCCAGGUGGCGGAAACUG